ensembl:rRNA 5S_rRNA 5S ribosomal RNA
UGUGGCUGUACUACUAUCCUGAAUGCUCCCAAUAUCAUCUGAUCUUGGAAGCUAAGCAGGAUUGGGCCUGGUUAGUAAUUGAACGGGAGAAGAUGCCAUCUUUGAAGUAGAUAGCAGCCCUCA